GGGGCUGUGGCUCAGUGGUAGAAUAUCCGCUUGGCAUGCAGAAGGUUUCCAGUUCAAGCCCCAUCAGCAUCU
rnacentral:tRNA from 1 species